CACACUCCUCUUUUUUUGCUUUUACACUUUAUCCAAUGAAAUGAUUUAUUUGAUUUGCUGCCUUCCUGGCAGCACACUGUUUCAUUUAUUUUGAAUUUCAUGAAGAAAGAAAAAAAUACAUUGGGCCUUUUUAGAGUUUUGCUUUGAAUAAAAUGUUCACAUUAACCCUGUGCAGUGCCCGUUCGGAAAUGGACACUUUCUUGUCUCCCUGUUAGUGCUGCUUGCAGCGAUGACGUCAGGGGACGUGUCCGUUAAGGGGGUGUAUUUCUUGGUCUUUCCUCGGAUUGGUUGCUUGCAGCGUCAUCAAGAACCAGUUAUCACUUGUUGACUUUCAGGAAGGGAAGAUGAGUUUGUGUGUAACGUUAAAACAUCCUGCAGCAAAACUGAAGGCCAGUCAAUGAGCCGCGGGGCCUAGAAGGUCUGCUGCGGACGACGUGCUGGAUUCAGUCUGCGAAGCCCCGCCCCCGCUGCUGCACAGAAAUGUAAUCCAUGCAUGUCCACCUUAAGAUAUUUUUAUUUAUUCUGCUGUUUAUUAGAUCUUUAUAUUACACUGGAUUUACAGCAUUUUUUCUCAAAUCACGGUUCCAUAAUUUCUUAUGUAUCCUUGCUUGAGUAAUUUAUGAAGUACAAUGCAGAAUAUUCUCUGCAUUCGCAGCUUCUGUCUGUGUUGUAUGUUCUGUCAGUUUUAGUGUGGUAGAUUGCUUUUAAAACUACGAUACUCAUGAGCCUCAGCCCCUGUUGCUAUGGAGAAUAGCGAUGGGAUAGCUCUUGCACAUUCAGAACACUUCAUCUAACAUGGACCAAGAAUGUGAAAUUGCAAAGUACUGAAUGUUUUAUCAGGUUUCUACAAAGUGUACGCAUUACUUUAAACUUUUCUUUUCGAGACACAAGUAACAUAAUAUUGAGUUAUUCUGUGAUUGGAUGUUUUUCACAAAAAUUGACCUAGUUUGAUUUCUCCUUUGUCUGCAGGGUGGCCGCGGGUCCUUAAAAAGUCUUAAAUCGCUUUUCCUAAAAAUAAGGCCUUAAAAAUUCUUAAAUUGUCUUAAAUUCCGAUUGGAUUGGUCUUCUUUUUUUUGUGGUGUCAUGUCACUGUGAAUAUGAGGCAAUCUGUUCCGCCAGGUCUAAUAUUUUGUUCCGGUUGGCUCUGCGGUGUCUCUGGUGUGUCACCAGGUCCACGCCCCUUCUCUUAAAGGGGCCCCGCGUCUUCGGUCCUAUCCCCUACAACGUGAAGCAUCGGCUAGUUUAGAAAACAUGGUGCGAUGCAAGUUCAAUACUAAAUGGCUAGAAGAGAACGAAAAUUUCUGGCUACGGUGGGUGAAAUGCUUCUGAAGAGAGCUGCGUUAUGUGUCGGGAGUCUUUCCAGCGGUGGAAUCUCACGUGCAAGGCAAGAAGCACAGAGACUCGCGAAGGCCGCCUGCUGCCCGCCGUGGCUAGUUUCUGCUCCACCGCUAGCAACGACGUCAACGCUACAACGCUGGAGGUCACCAGAGGAAAUCCAGCGGCGUGUAUAAAAAGAGCUCAUCAACAAUGCGGUGCGUUCUUCAUUCUGUUCUACGAGACACUGAACCAGACCACCGAGAGCAGACAACUGGACUUCAUGUGCGUUAUUGGUUAAAUGACCACGUCCAGUCAGGAUUCUAUGGAGCACAGCUCAUGGGCCAUGACACCGCCCAGGACCAACUUCAGCAUCUCAAAGAGUGUGCAGCUUGACCUCAUACAUGUGAUUUAUAUCUCAAUGGACCAAAUGUCAACUGGAAGUUUAUUUAUUCAUACAGUUUAAAAAGGAUUGUUUUCCUAGUAUCUUCUCAAAAGCUCAGGAGUAGACAUAUAAACUAGUGCACAGAAAUCCAUCACAUAGAGACAUGAGAACUCACUCAAUCACUCACACACACAUACAUUCUAUUAUGUAAAUGUAAUUGCAUUUUAAAAGCAGCUGGAAUUGUUAUUUAUGUUAUUUUAUAGAUUUUCUUUGUUCAAAAGGAGCUAUGUUGCUCGUAUAUUUGUAAAUAUAUUUACUUGAUAUUAGAAGCAUUUGUUCAUGGGACCUAAAUGUUCUGAAAAUAUUGUAUUAAUAAAUAUAAUUUACAACAGCAA